UACGAAGGUGGCAAGCGUUGUUCGGAUUUACUGGGCGUACAGGGAGCGUAGGCGGUUGGAUAAGCCCUCCGUGAAAUCUCCAGGCUUAACCUGGAAAGUGCAGAGGGGACUGUUCAGCUAGAGGAUGGGAGAGGAGCGCGGAAUUCCCGGUGUAGCGGUGAAAUGCGUAGAGAUCGGGAGGAACACCGGUGGCGAAGGCGGCGACCUGGGUGGAUACUGACGCUGAGGCGCGAAAGCGUGGGGAGCAAACAGG
rnacentral:rRNA from 1 species